rnacentral:rRNA from 1 species
UACGUAGGGGGCAAGCGUUGUCCGGAUUUAUUGGGCGUAAAGAGCGUGUAGGCGGCCAGACAGGUCCGUUGUGAAAACUCGAGGCUCAACCUCGAGACGCCGAUGGAAACCGUCUGGCUAGAGUCCGGAAGAGGCAAGUGGAAUUCCUGGUGUAGCGGUGGAAUGCGCAGAUAUCAGGAGGAACACCUAUAGCGAAGGCAGCUUGCUGGGACGAUACUGACGCUAAGGCUCGAAAGCGUGGGGAGCGAACAGG